GACAGAGGUGCCAAGCGUUAGGCGGAAUCACUGGGCGUAAAGGGUGCGUAGGCGGGUCUUUAAGUCAGGGGUGAAAUCCUGGAGCUCAACUCCAGAACUGCCUUUGAUACUGAGGAUCUUGAGUUCGGGAGAGGUGAGUGGAACUGCGAGUGUAGAGGUGAAAUUCGUAGAUAUUCGGAAGAACACCAGUGGCGAAGGCGACUCACUGGCCCGAUACUGACGCUGAGGCGCGAAAGCGUGGGGAGCAAACAGG
rnacentral:rRNA from 1 species